CUUAAGCCAUGCAUGUCUCCGAAUAACUAGUAGCUUGAUCCCGAAUCUGCGAACGGCUCCGUAUAUCUGUUGUAACCCACCGCCGCCCAAGCCCCUGCGGAUAACCUCGGUAAUUCUGAGGCUAAUACGUAUAACUCUCGUAGCUGGCCUUUUUGAGGCCGGGUCCCGAGACUCGCCACGCACCCCGGUGAAAGCCGCGUGAGUUGCCGGCGAGUGUCCCUUACCGCAGCCAGAAGGCUAUGGAGCGAGCGAUGGGCUUCAGACCUAUCAACUAGAUGGCCAGGGAUAGCCUGGCCACGGUUAUUACGGGUACAGAGGAUCAGGGUUCGGUCCUGGAGAGGUAGCCUGAGAGAUCGCUACUACUUCUAAGGAAGGCAGCAGGCGCGCAACGUUCCCAAUGGGGAUACCCUGAGGACGUGAAGGGACAUACCAAUGCCCGGCCCUUAAAGCCGGGCAAUUGGAAUGGGGGACCUUUAAACCCCACACCGAGUAACAAUUGGAGGACAAGUCUGGUGCCAGCACCCGCGGUAAUUCCAGCUCCAAUAGCAUCUAAUUAAGUUGUUGCAGUUAAAACGCUCGUAGUUCGAGUCGGUGCGUCCUGGGGCCGCCUAGUACCGCCCAGACGAUCCCCCCACCCGCAAGGGUCGGCGGGGGUCCCUGGACCGGGAGAUGCGGACCUUGGCCACUAGACGCUGGGGGUAUUUAUCGGCCGGGGCUUCAGUGCCCCAGGCCGAUAUCCUUGGCACCUUACUUUGAAUAAAUGUGAGCGCUCCAAGCAGGCCACUUCGGCCCUUCUAACCCGCAGCAAAGAAUAACGGAACAGGGGUCCGCCCUAUGUCCGUGGGUGAUCGGCGGGUCAAUGAUCGAUAGGGGAGAUCGGGGCAGGCCACAUGGCGGGGGUAGGGGUGAAAUCCGUUGAUCCUCGCCAGGUGAACUAGAGCGAAAGCAGCCUGCAAGUACUCAUCCUUUGAUCAAGAACGAAAGUCUGGGGAUCGAAGAUGAUCAGAUACCAUCGUAGUCCAGACCCUAAAUCAUGCCGGCCAUGGAUGGGCACUCGUCCAUCCCGACCCUGCCCGCACCUUGUGGGAAACCAUAAGCGUUUGGGCUCCGGGGGGAGUAUGGUCGCAAGACUGAAACUUAAAGGAAUUG
rnacentral:rRNA from 1 species